UACGGAGGGUGCAAGCGUUAUCCGGAUUCACUGGGUUUAAAGGGUGCGUAGGCGGACAGGUAAGUCAGUGGUGAAAUCUCUGGGCUUAACCCAGAAACUGCCGUUGAUACUAUUUGUCUUGAAUAUCCUGGAGGUAGGCGGAAUAUGUCAUGUAGCGGUGAAAUGCUUAGAUAUGACAUAGAACACCAAUUGCGAAGGCAGCUCACUACACGAAUAUUGACACUGAGGCACGAAAGCGUGGGGAUCAAACAGG
rnacentral:rRNA from 1 species